rnacentral:rRNA from 1 species
UACGGAGGGUGCAAGCGUUAUCCGGAUUCACUGGGUUUAAAGGGAGCGUAGGUGGGUUGGUAAGUCAGUGGUGAAAUCCCCGAGCUUAACUUGGGAAACUGGCCAUUGAUACUAUUAGUUCUUGAAUACUGUGGAGGUUAGCGGAAUAUGUCAUGUAGCGGUGAAAUGCUUAGAUAUGACAUAGAACACCAAUUGCGAAGGCAGCUGGCUACACAAUUAUUGACACUGAUGCUCGAAAAGCGUGGGGGAUCAAACAGG